rnacentral:lncRNA from 1 species
ACAGAAGUAUACAAAUAGAAAAUACAUCGGGGCUAUGAGACCUAUCAGACAUCGCUCAUAUCGCUGGGGUAUUCUUGGCAGACACUUGCAUAGAAAUACUACUCCAAGAAUGCUAUAUUCCCCAUGAUCACGUCAAAAACAUGGAACAUGAACCCACCAAAUAAAAGUCAACUAUCAAAGAAUGUCAUAGGUAAAGUCAUCCUAAAACAAAAUAAGUACAACCACCAAAAGAAAGACAUUAAGGCCUUAUACAACAAAAAACUAAUUUGAUCAUCCACUAAACAAUAAC